CCCAAACGUCCCCUGGAGGCCGCUUCCUAGGGCGGGUAUAAAGCGUGAAGCCGGGGCGCUAGCUGGUUAGCAAAGCCCAGGAAGCAACGCAGCCAGCCCGCACCAUGAAGGCCCUGCUCCUCCUCACUCUCCUGGGGCCUGGCACUGCUGCUGCCGUGGCACAGGCGAUGCCCCCAGUGGAGGGGAGGAAACCAUCGUGAAGAAGGUGCAAGAUUACGUCCAGCACGUGGCUCAGACUGCCAAGGACGCCUUAAGCAAGGUCCAGAAAGCCGAGGUGGAUCAGCAGGCCAGGGACUGGGUCAACCUGCGUGCUGAGGACAUACACGAGUUUUGGGGUGUACUAAAGGACAAGAUCUCUACGCUCUGGGAGCAACAGAUGCCUGGGCAGUGAGCCCCACAUCAGCAGCUCUGGUCGGGUUCUCAGCUGAAUGAGGGCAGGUGCAGGAUGCGCAAUGCAAAUUGUAACCAAAUUGACGCCCUGCUCUGGCAGAGAGCCCAGCAUCCGUCCAUCUAAGCGCUUUCCCACGUGCCUGUCUGUUCAGUAGCUCAAUCUCCACUCAGUGUGGUGUGGUCAUAUACUACUUCCACUGGGGCACAGGAGUUUUGGUUCCAGCUGGUGUGCUGGUUUGGAGAGGCUGGGUUUUUUUUCCUCUUAUAAAACAUCAUAACUCAAAGUUUGUCAUGUGUCUUGCAAUAAAAUGAAGUAAACUUGA